AGCAGUAGCCGCGGGAAUACGUAGGUGGCAAGCGUUGUCCGGAAUUAUUGGGCGUAAAGGGCUCGCAGGCAGUUUCUUAAGUCUGAUGUGAAAGCCCCCGGCUCAACCGGGGAGGGUCAUUGGAAACUGGGAAACUUGAGUGCAGAAGAGGAGAGUGGAAUUCCACGUGUAGCGGUGAAAUGCGUAGAGAUGUGGAGGAACACCAGUGGCGAAGGCGACUCUCUGGUCUGUAACUGACGCUGAGGAGCGAAAGCGUGGGGAGCGAACAGGAUUAGAUACCCGAGUAGUCCCUGUCUCUUAUAC
rnacentral:rRNA from 1 species